GGAAUGUGGUGUCGUGGACCGUGAUGAUCUGGGCUUACGCGCAGCAGGGUUUCAUUCGAGCGGCCUUCGAUCUCUACAAGAGAAUGGACUGCGAGCCAAACGCUGUAACUUUCAUGGCCGUGAUGGAUUCCUGUUUGCGUCCAGAGGACUUACCGCGAGCGGAGCAAAUCCACGCACACAUGGUUGCCUCCGGCUUUGAUUCCGAUGCUGUCUUGCAAGUUUGUCUCGUCACCAUGUAUGGGAAGUGUGGGAGCGUCGACAGCGCUUGGAGCAUCUUCGAAAACUUGAAGGAGAGAAGCGUGGUUGCAUGGAACUCCAUGCUAUCUGCGUUCGCCAGCAACGGGUGUUACGAGAGGAGCUUGAAACUCUACGAAAGAAUGCUGCUAGAGGGGAAAACACCCGACAAGAUCACUUACUUGGCUGUGCUUGAUGCCUGCCAGAGCGUUUCCGAGGCCCGGAGGUACGCCGCUACCUUCGAGCUGGAGCUAGAUAUUGCUGCAAAAAAUGCCGCGGUCAGUGCGUACGCGAGGUGUGGAAGCUUGAAAGAAGCCAAGGCUGCGUUUGAUGCAAUACAAUGGAAGAACAAUGCUGUGACAUGGAACGCCAUGAUCUCCGGCCUUGCACAGCACGGCGAGAGCAAGCAAGCUCUCGAGUGCUUUUGGAAAAUGGAACUGGAAGGAGUGAGACCAAACUCGGUCACUUACCUCGCAAGUCUAGAGGCAUGCUCGAGCUUGAACGAUUUGACGAGAGGGAGACAACUCCACGCCAGGAUCCUCCUGGAAAACAUACACGAGGCAAACCUCAGCAAUGCCGUGAUCAACAUGUAUGGCAAGUGUGGAAGUCUAGACGAAGCAAUGGACGAGUUUGCAAAAAUGCCCGAGAGAGAUGUGGUCUCCUGGAACACAAUGAUAGCAACAUACGCUCAACACGGCAGUGGAAGACAAGCACUAGAGUUUUUCAAGCAAAUGGACCUGGAAGGAUGGACUACGGACAGAGCAACGUACCUGGGAGCGAUCGACGCGUGCGGCAGCGUUCCAUCUCUAGCUCUCGGAAAAACCAUCCACUCCAUCGUCGCCACUGCUGCUCCAUGCCUGGAACAAGAUCCGGGAGUCGCCACAGCGCUCGUCACCAUGUAUGCUCGGUGUGGAAGCCUGCACGACGCAAAGUCAGUGUUCUGGAGAUCUCACUCGCGGAACCUCGUUACCUGGUCGAACUUGAUCGCUGCGUGUGCUCAGCACGGCCGAGAGAACGAGGCCCUGGAUCUCUUCCGCGAGAUGCAGCUCCAGGGAACCAAGCC
rnacentral:lncRNA from 1 species